UACAGAGGGGGCAAGCGUUGUUCGGAAUUACUGGGCGUAAAGCGUGCGCAGGCGGUUCGUUGUGUCGGCGGUGAAAGCCCCGGGCUCAACCUGGGAAUGGCCGUUGAAACUGGCGAACUGGAGUGUGGCAGAGGGGGGUGGAAUUCCGCGUGUAGCAGUGAAAUGCGUAGAGAUGCGGAGGAACACCGAUGGCGAAGGCAGCCCCCUGGGCUGACACUGACGCUCAGGCACGAAAGCGUGGGGAGCAAACAGG
rnacentral:rRNA from 1 species